rnacentral:rRNA from 1 species
UACGAAGGGGGCUAGCGUUGUUCGGAAUUACUGGGCGUAAAGCGCGCGUAGGCGGACAUUUAAGUCAGGGGUGAAAUCCCAGAGCUCAACUCUGGAACUGCCUUUGAUACUGGGUGUCUAGAGUGUGGAAGAGGUGAGUGGAAUUCCGAGUGUAGAGGUGAAAUUCGUAGAUAUUCGGAGGAACACCAGUGGCGAAGGCGGCUCACUGGUCCAUAACUGACGAUGAGGUGCGAAAGCGUGGGGAGCAAACAGG